CUCAGUGAGACUCUGUCUCCAAAUAAAAUACAAAAUAGGGCUGGGGAUGUGGCUCAGUGGUUGAGUGCCCCUGAGUUUAAUCCCCAGGACCCGCCCCGCAAAAUCCCUCCUUCUUCUAAGCAAACCAUCGAGAAAAUGAAAAGACUAACUUCAGAAGGGGAGAAAAUAUUUGCAUAUCAUGUGUUUGGUCUGUAUCUAGAAUCUACAAACAACUCAAUAAUAAAAAGACAAAUAUGAUUUUAAAAUGGGCAAAGGGCCACGUGGCACAUGCCUGUAACUCCAGCUACUCUGGAGACUGACAAAGGAGAAUUGAAAAUUUGAGGCCAAUCUUGGCAACUUAGUGAGAUUCUGUCUCAAAAUAAAAAAAUAAAAAUAAAAAAUGCUGGGAAUGUAGUUCAGUGGUAAAGUGAACAGACAUUUCUCCUAAGAAAGUUUACAAAGGAGAACUAUAUGAAAAGAUACCUAAGGAGUUGGUGAAUGAAAUAUGGAGGAUAUAUUUUUCAAAGGAUACAAGGUUUUGGUUAUGCAGGAUGAAUAAAUUCUGGAGAUCUGAUGACCAUUCUGGUCUACAGUUAAUGAUACUGCAUUGUAUACUUGGAAUCUGCUACAAGAGAUCUUACAUGUUGUCAUCACACACACACAUACACACACAACUAGGAAGUGACAGGUUAAUUAGCUUUAUUGUAAUAAUCAUUCAUAAUGUAUACAUAUAACAAGGAUUCCAUAGUACAUUGUGAAUUUAUACUUUUGUCAAUUAUACCUUAGUUAACACUGGGGUUAGGGGUUGGAAAAAUGCUUGACAUCUUGGUUAUUAGGGAAAUGCAAAUCAAAAAUCACAAUGACAUAUCACUUUGUACCCAUUAACAUGGGUAUAAUAAAAAAUAGAUAAUAAUAUUAACAAAGGAGUGGAGAAAUUGGAGCCUUCGUGUCUUGCUGAUGGGAUUUUAAAAGGGUAUAAUUGCUUUGGAAAACAGUUUGGCAGUUCUUCAAAAGGUUAACUAUAGAGUUACCACAUGAUCCAGCAAUUUCUCUCAGGUAUCCAUUUAAGGCAAAUGGAAACACAUCCACACACAACUUAUUUGUAAAUAUUCUAGAAAAAAAAAUGAUUCAUGAUAACUAGAAAACAAAUUAAUGUCCAUUAACUGAUGAAUAUAAAAUGAAAUGUGCAUUCUCAUACAAUGUAAAAUUAUAUUGCCAUAAAAAGGAAUAAAGUAUAAGACACAUGAAACUUUUUUGAAAAUUUUUAAUUUUUUCCCACAUUUUAGUGGUGCAUUACAGUUGUUCAUAAUAGUGUGAUUUGUUGCAACAUAUAAGACACACGAAACUUGAAAGCACGUGCUAAGGGAAAAGCUAGUCACAAAAGACCACAUGCUGCAUGAUCCCAUUUAUAUGUCGUAUGCAGAACAGGCAAGCCUGUAGGGACAGAAAGAUUAGUGGUUUCCUAGGGAUAGGAGUUUCCUAUAAAGGGAGAGUAGCUGCUAAUGGGGAUAAGGUUUCUUUCUGUGGUGAUGAAAAUGUUCUAAAAUUGAUUGUGGUGAUGUUUAUAUAACUCAAUUUAAAGCCAUCAAGUUGUACACUUGAAAUAGAUUAAUUGAAUAUCAGGCAAUUACAUUUCAAUAAAGUUUUUAAAAGGCAACCUAAAUUAAAAGACUGUAAAAGUCUUUUGAAUAUAGCACAAAAGUGAAAUUACAUAUGUCAAUUUUGUUUUUCAAUCUUACUGGUAUCAUUUUCAAUUUGUAAAAUAUUCUACUUGUUGCUUUUGCUCUUCCACCUGUUUUCCC
rnacentral:lncRNA from 1 species